GAUUUCUAGCCCAACCAGGCUGGUGGCCUCUACCAUACAUAGAAGUACCAUCCACCCUUACAGUAAAAGCCUCCCUCCUGCUCACAAAGGAAGCCUAAAGCCCAAGAUUUCCCUCUCCUUGUUUUAUUCAUUUUUGCACAUCUCUGUUGCUCUAACAGAAAUGAACUGGAAUCUGCACAGGUUCUCUCCUGCCCUGAAAGUUCUGCCUGGUUUCCUUGGCCUCUGAUGGCAUUGAAGCUUUCACAAUCCCUCCUGCAUCUCCACCUUCCCUGUCUUGCUCCAGGCUCCUGGCUCCAUGCCUUCCUGUGUCAAAAAGGCUUUGCCAAGAAUUACUUCACCUCCUAACCAGGCUUCUGCCCUCAGGGCUCCCCCAGUGUCUUGGGAGUGUCUUGGGCCACACGACUGCCUCUUAGAAAGUUCCAACCUUGCCCCCAAUUCAAAUUUCUCCUCCCCUCUUUCCACUCUCCCUCCCAGAAACUCCUGAUUUCCAGAAAACCUCAGAUUUCCAGGCCAGGUCACUCAUUCCUUCCUCUCAUCUCCCUCUUCCUCCAUCUACCUUCCUCCAUUCACCUUCCUCCAUUCCUAAUUUCUUUUCCCUGGUCUUGCUAUAAUCUCCAGCUCUAAAAAUCAGAGCUCUCAAUGAAAACAAUGGAAGAAUAAGACAUUCUUUCGGUCUUCUGUUUGCCUCACUGGUGUAUCCUUCAUCUCCUGCCCCUGUGAGUUGAUACCCCAGUGCACGGAGCCAAGGGCUUUUCCCCUCUGAGCUCUGGGAGGGAAGGGAAUGGAGCUCUGGGUUUGAGAUGUCAUGGCCUGUGAUAGUCAGUUUGGUUCCUGCCACUAGCAAGUCCCCUGAAGCUCCCAACCCAGCCUGAUGUUAGCCCAGAAGCUCCUGCUCUGGCCAAAGACUCCUAUCCUUGAGGGCUCUCAGCCACUGCUCCAACACACUUGCCCCCUUCCUGCUUGUGUAUGUCACUUAUCCUCCUUUGUCCACAAAGACUUGAGGGCCUCCUGAGUCUCCAAGCAUGGAGGAAUAUCCAUGCCAACAUCCCUGCCAUCAAACUCAAUCCAUUUUCUUCAGAGAUACCUUGUCUGUCACCAGCCUCCAACUUCAUAUUCCUUCCACAGGCAACUGUGCACUUGACCCAAGGUAAAAUGAAAGGGCUGCCAAUCACUCGGACUCCAGAAGGUGCCUGCCCUGAGAAGAGCUGGCAUGUUACCUCCCACAUACAUUUCCUGUCAUCCUGUCCGAAUCUGGGAAAUUUUGCUCUGGAGUAUUUUCAAGAAAGCGCAUUGUGUUUUAAUGAAGUAUUUUUCAGGGUUCCAAUGUUAUUUUUUAUAAAUGCAGCAUUUUAAUGGCAGAUUCAAUAUGAAGGACAUGUCUUCCUGGGCUCUAUAUUUGAUUUUGGAAGGCAGCAUACUCUAGGAGAAAAAAAGCAUAGGGCUGAGGCUCUGAAGACACAGCUUCCAGCCCUGGCUUUGUCUCCGAGGGGGAGUCAUGUUCCCCACUCAGUGCCUCAGUUUCCCCAUCUGUAAAAUGAGGGGCUUUGACUAGAUGAGCUCUGAAGUUUCAUCCAGCUCUUACACUGUAGGGCUUUCAUUCCCUGCCAGCACCUGCUCUCCCCGUUCCUCCCCACCUCCACUGAGCUGCACACAUCCCACAAUGCCUGCCCCACAGCGAUGUCCUCAGAUGUCCUGGACAGCCACCGCACUCCUCACUAGAGCCUGGGGUGGGCCUGAUGGGCUCGGCCACCCAGGGAUGCCCUCGUACCUGAAGUUUAAGGGCCUAACCAUUCAAUAGGUCACCAACUGUGUGCCAUGGAAGCCCUCUUGUAAAGACACACCUAAACCAUCCUAAGUGACUGUGGAAUUCUGGGGAAUUCUGAGUUUGGAGUUUCCAUUUGGAUACGGUCCUUAUAGCUGGAGGGAGGCGGUUCCAAUUUCAGAGAGGGAGCUGGCUGGAGAGAAAGGUCUGGAGGUUGGCCCAUAAGGGCAUGAAGUUUGUACUUGAGGGCAGCUGGGAAAUUCAUUUCAAGCUGCAGAGGAACGUGUUCACAGGCUGUUGUGUGGCAAUGAAUGUCAUGAUAACCCACUCUGGAAUAUGUGUCCUGAAGACCAAGUCUGGACACUGAGGCUCCAUUCCAACUGGAGGAGGAGGCAUCUCCAUCUGGGCUGCUAGGAAGGGGCACUCAUCCCAUCCUAGUACCUUUGUAGCCCUUCGUCAUGACACUACCGUCCUCCCGGUGAAGGCUUGUGAAGCAAGAAUGGAGAGUCCAAGUUUGUGAUAUUCAAACCCAUCUUGUAAAUCAGCAAACACAUUAACCUUCCAUCAGUCAGAGAAAUAAUGUUGUGGCUGUGUGUUUCCUUAAUGCUCUCCCUCCUGAGGGAGGAGAAGACCCUGCUCAACUUUGCUGCCCACCCUGCAGUGACCCCUGAAUGCCACACCAUGGGAGGACUCAUUCAUUGGCUUUGUAGUGGCAAAUAUUCCUCUAGUUCUAUAACUCAACUAGACAUUUUGUAGUAAAGAAUUCUUGAAAUUCUCUAAUAAAAAGCAAUUCUUACUGUAAUAUUUUUAGUUUGGGGACACAAUUUCCUAAGGGGGGAUUAAUGAACAUUUUUAUGCAUUAGCCCAAUUUAUGAAUUCCAUGUUUAUUAUAUGGUAGUACUGAUGAAAAGUACCUUUCUAUCUGUAUCUUUGCAGUUUCUUCGUUACUCAUAUGUAAGCCUCAUGGUAAGCAGUGCUCUAGUAACUGCUUCUCUGUACAAAUCUCAUCGUUCUACUUACCUGUCAAAGCACAUUCUACAUGUACUGUAAACAGAUACACUUUAGUAAGAUUUAGUCUUAAGGAUUUUUCCACUUUUGUCAGUAACAGAUAUUUAUGGAUUAAAAAAUAAAGCCGUUUCAACAUAA
rnacentral:lncRNA from 1 species